AUCCUUCUAGUUCAUGAGUGUGAUGAUUGGUGUGAUCACGGUUCAUCCGUGACUGGUGCAGCCCAACUUGUUACGCUUUGCGCCUCAGCCCAUCUGAUC